rnacentral:rRNA from 1 species
GAUGAACGCUGCCAGAAUGCUUAACACAUGCAAGUCUUUGGCGAAGCUGUGCUCGCACAGCCUAGCCAAGGCGGACGGGUGAGUAACGCGUAAGGAACUUGCCCUGCAGUCAGGGAUAACAGACGGAAACGACUGAUAAGACCUGGUAAAGUCAGGCGGACUCAUGUCCAGCCUGAUGAAAAGAGAUGCUGCAGGAGAGCCUUGCGUCCUAUUAGCUUGUUGGUGGGGUAACGGCCCACCAAGGCGAUGAUAGGUAGCCGGCCUGAGAGGGUGGACGGCCACAAGGGGACUGAGAUACGGCCCUUACUCCUACGGGAGGCAGCAGUGGGGAAUAUUGGACAAUGGGGGCAACCCUGAUCCAGCAAUUCUGUGUGCACGAUGAAGGUUUUCGGAUUGUAAAGUGCUUUCAGCAGGGAAGAAAAAAAUGACGGUACCUGCAGAAGAAGCGACGGCUAAAUACGUG